ensembl:lncRNA
CUGUUGUUAUAGCAUGAUGACGCACAGCCCCCUGUCGCAAGGUUCUGUACACCAGGCAUGUCACCCAUGUUUGGAAUGCUCUAGACCAAAGGUGUCCAGUUCCCAUUAAUGUGGAAUACAUUAAUUAGGAUCUAACGACUUCACUUCAAGCUGACUGACUUCAAUUACAUGAACUGUAACGAGGUAAAAUGUUAGGCAACACAAGAGGAUGACAGCAGAAAAAGCCGGCGAGAAGGUCCUGAUCUGAUCUGCGGUUGUAAAAUGUUGGACAUAUUGUUUACAACUACGUAGAAUUCAGAAAUAACCACGAAAUGACCUGCACCAGACACCAACCACAAUGGAAUUCUCCUCCGAUAUUCAACAUUUGAAGAAACCAUUCAACUACUAGCACUGAAUGCCAAGCACUACAUCUGGCAAAAACAGGGCACUGCCCAUCACCUGGCUACUACAAUGUCUAUGGUGAAGAAUGGUGGCGGGAUGCUUAACAGUGGCAGGGACUGCGAGACUCGUUGGGAUUGAGGUAAGGAUGAACGGAGCAAAAUACAGAGAGGUCCUUGAAGAAAACCUGAUCCAGACAAGACUGGGCCAAAGAUUAAUUUAUCAGCACGACAACAGCCCAAAGCACACUGCCAACACAUUCAAGCCAAGACAAUUGGCUUUGGGACAAGUCCGUAAAUAGCCUUGAGUGGCCCAGUCAAAGCCCAGACUUGAACCCACUAAACAUUUGUGGGGAGACCUGAAGAUCACUCACCAUCCAAUCAAACAGAACUUGACCGGAUCUACAAGGCCAAAUGGGAGAAAUUCAAUUUUUCAAAGCUGGUAGAGGCAUUCCCAAGACUCAAAGCUGUGAUCAAUGCCAAAGGUGCUUGUAAAAAGCACUGAAUGAAGAAUACUAAUGUGCAUGAGAACAUUUUCUGAGAAACCUUACAGCUUGUUUUCAUUAUGGGAUAUUGUGUGUAGAUUGAUGGCAAAAAAUAUAAUCACAAAAUGUAGAGAAAGUGAAUAAUGUAACUGCAUGUCAACAUUCUGUCACAAUAUGUUGUGUACCACUAACAUGAC